AACGAUGUAGUUUAUUUAGAAUUAUGAGUUUGCGUCUCAUAGGAGGAAUAAUAAUUCUCUUCGUUA
rnacentral:tRNA from 4 species